rnacentral:rRNA from 1 species
UCGGAACGUACCCAAGAGUGGGGGAUAACGUAGCGAAAGUACGCUAAUACCGCAUAC